ACCACUUAUUGAAGAGACUGUCUUUUCUCCAUUGUAUAUCCUUGCCUCCUUUGUCAUAGAUUAGUUGACCAUAGGUGCGUGGGUUUAUCUCUGUGGAGCCUACAUUCUAAGGAAACUGGUUUUUAAAGUCAUGCAUGAUCUGCCCUCACUCAUGAGCUUCAAGCCACCCCCACAUCUACUACACUCCAGCCUCUUGUACUGUGCUAGUCUAUUGCUGUUCCAACUCUUCACUGCCUGUUCUUAUGGGAAGAUUUUACUUCCUGUCCCGCUGAUGUCAGCCUUGGCCAUAUGACCUGACUUGCUUUGGCUGAUGAAAUGUGAGUGGAAGGGGCAUGAGCCAUUCCCAAGCAGAAGUUUUAAGCAUCAUCUUAUGGUUUUGCCCCCUAACUUGUUCCUCCACCGUGAGCCCAACAUGUUCUAGACAGGGGCUGCUCCUGGAAUGAAGAGGACGUAGAGCAGAGCCAAAACAUGGCGCACGUCAACAAUGGACAUGUAGCUUGAGCAAAAAGUAAAACUUGGCUUUUGUGAGCCCCUGAGAUUUGGGAGUUUGGUUGUUACUGCAUCACGACCCAGCGAUAGAUGACUGAUGGACCCACCAAUGCCCCCUGCUUUCUCUCCACCUCCAGACCUCCCCUCUGCUUAAAGACACUUCCCUUCUUGGUUCCUGGCCCCUCCUGCUGUCAGCUUAGAUGCUUCUUUCUCUAUUAAGUCAGAAUUCCUCCCUGCCCCUCCCCACCAAAAAAAUACCAGGCUAGGUGUCUCUAGUAGGCAGAAUAAUGUCCACCCCCAAAAUGUGUCCAUGUCCUAAUCCCUGAAACAUAUAAAUAUGUUAUGUCAAAACAUUGCAGAUGUGAUUAAGGAUUGUAACAAAAGAUUAUCCUAAAUUAACCAGCUGUGCCCGAUGUAAUCAUAAGGGUCCUUAAAAGAUGGAAGAAGAAAGCAGCAGAGUCAGAGAUGUCAUGACAGCAGAAGUCAGAAUGAUUGAAUAGCUGGCUUUGAAGAUGGAGGAGGGGCCAUGAGCCAAGGAAUGCAGGCAGCCUCUAGAAGCUGGAAAAGGCCAGGAAGCAGAUUCUCCCCUAGAGCCUCCGCAAAGGAUUACAGCCCUGCCAGGACUUUGAUUUGAACCCAGUGAGACCCACUUCAGACUUCUGACCUCCACGACUGUGACAAUCACUGAAGUACUCGAUCACCCAUUGCCCCUGCUUCUUGACAGCAUCCAACCCAGAACAGGCCCCUGGUUCUUUAAUGCCCCCCACAAUCGUCCAACACAAACACAAACCCUAGAAGCAGCCCCUCUCGUCUCCCCGCUGGGAUGCUCCCGAGGACGCCUUCUCCUUGGCCGCAGCAAGCUGGGUAAACCUAGCUUUGAAAGUUUGUGUUGUGUUUAUCUGUUUUGACUACAGGUGUGGUCUUCGGUCCUCAUAUUUAAUUCUAAAUUCACAGACCCGCAAACAGGUCCGGAGACCCAUCAGGGUCCUCUAAUUAGCUAUAAAAAUGAGAUCAAACAUGUCUUCAGUUUGUUUUCAUGUAGCCAUGGGCUUGGACUGUUUGGUUACUGAACGUGUCAGCUUACCAGAUCUGUCUGGCACCAGGUCUUCUGUUUACCAUCUUGGCGAGAACUUUCCAGUAGCUUUUAGUCACUGGAGAAAACCUGCCAUAUUUUUUCAAAUAAUGCUUCGUCCUGUGGCAAAGCCGGAUGCAUUCUGAUGAGAGUUUAUCAGUGUGAGAGGAAGCAGGUGUGUGUUCCCCGCUGCCAUCUGAUUUCUUUCUUUGAGUUCUAGAAGCAGACACUCCAUCAGCCACCCAAGCAGGGAAUUGCCUUUCUACAGAAGGUAAACAAGAGGGUUUGCUUUAUUUUCAGCCAUAAUAUUGGACCUAAAAAACAUUUCAAAUCACUUUU